rnacentral:rRNA from 1 species
UACGAAGGGGGGCUAGCGUUGCUCGGAAUCACUGGGCGUAAAGCGCACGUAGGCGGCUUGUUAAGUCAGGGGUGAAAUCCUGGAGCUCAACUCCAGAACUGCCUUUUGAUACUGGCGAGCUUGAGUCCGGGGAGAGGUGAGUGGAACUGCGAGUGUAGAGGUGAAAAUUCGUAGAUAUUCGCAAGAACACCAGUGGCGAAGGCGGCUCACUGGCCCGGGUACUGACGCUGAGGUGCGAAAGCG